CAGGGCCGAGGGACAGCGCCGCCACUGCUGCCCUCGAACGGCACCACAGCCUCUGCCGGCCCGGGGCUGUCCCUGUGCCUGUGCCUGUGCCUGUGCCUGUGCCUGUGCCUGUGCCUGUCCCUGUGGCUCUGCCGUGUGCCUGUACCGUGUGCAGUGUGCCUGUACCGUGUGCCUGUGCCGUGUGCCUGUACUUUGUGCCUCUGCCCAUACCGUGUGCCUGUGCCUAUGCCGUGUGCUUGUACCGUGUGCCUGUGCCGUGUGCCUGUACCGUGUGCCUGUGCCGUGUGCCUGUACCGUGUGCCUGUGGCUCUGCCUGUACCGAGUGCCUGCGCCGUGUGCCUGUGCUGUGUGACUGUGCCAUGUGCCUGUACCGUGUGCCUGUGCCGUGUUCCUGUGCCUCUACCAUGUGCCUGUACCGUGUGCCUGUGCCGUGUGCCUGUGCCUGUACCGUGUGCAUGUACCGUGUACCUGUGCCGUGUGCCUGUGCCUGUGCCUGUACCGUGUGCCUGUGCCGUGUGCCUGUGCCCUCUGCCGUGUGCCUGUACCAUGUGCCUCUGCCGUGUGCCUGUGACCUGUGCCUGUACCGUGUGCCUGUGCCUGUGCCGUGUGCCUGUGCCUGUGUCUGUGUCAUGUGCCUAUGCCGGGAAAAGAGUGCCGUGUGCCUGUGUCUGUGCCGUGUGCCUGUGCCGUGUUCCUGUGCCCUCUGCCGUGUGCCUGUGCCGUGUGCCUGUGCCUGUACUGUGUGCCUGUACCAUGUGCCUGUGCCUCUGCCGUGUGCCUGUGUCGUGUGCCUCUGCCCUGUGCCUGUGCCCUGUGCCUCUGCCUUGUGCCUGUGCCUGUGCCUGUGCCUGUCCCUGUGGCUGUGCCCUGUGGCUGUGCCGUGUGCCUGUACCGUGUGCAGUGUGCCUGUGCCGUGUGCCUGUGCCGUGUGCCUGUACUUUGUGCCUGUGCCUAUACCGUGUGCCUGUGCCUCUGCCUGUACCGAGUGCCUGCGCCGUGUGCCUGUGCUGUGUGACUGUGCGUCUGCUGUGUGCCUCUGCCGUGUGCCUGUACCGUGUUCCUGUGCCCUCUGCCCUGUGUCU
rnacentral:lncRNA from 1 species